rnacentral:rRNA from 1 species
UUCCGGUUGAUCCUGCCGGACCUGACUGCUAUCGGAUUGAUACUAAGCCAUGCGAGCCAUUGUAGCAAUACAAGGCAUACGGCUCAGUAACGCGUAGUCAACCUAACCUAUGGACGGAAAUAACCUCGGGAAACUGAGAAUAAUGUCCGAUAGAACACUAUACCUGGAAUGGUUUGUGUUCCAAAUGAUUUAUCGCCGUAGGAUGGGACUGCGGCCUAUCAGUUUGUUGGUGAGGUAAUGGCCCACCAAGACCAUUACAGGUACGGGCUCUGAGAGGAGUAGCCCGGAGAUGGGUACUGAGACACGGACCCAGGCCCUAUGGGGCGCAGCAGGCGAGAAAACUUUGCAAUGUGCGAAAGCACGACAAGGUUAAUCCGAGUGAUUUGUGCUAAACGAAUCUUUUGUUAGUCUUAGAACCACUAACGAAUAAGGGGUGGGCAAGUUCUGGUGUCAGCCGCCGCGGUAAAACCAGCACCUCAAGUGGUCAGGAUGAUUAUUGGGCCUAAAGCAUCCGUAGCCGGCUCUGUAAGUUUUCGGUUAAAUCUGUACGCUCAACGUACAGGCUGCCGGGAAUACUGCAGAGCUAGGGAGUGGGAGAGGUAGACGGUACUCGGAAGGAAGGGGUAAAAUCCUUUGAUCUUUUGAUGACCACCUGUGGCGAAGGCGGUCUACCAGAACACGUCCGACGGUGAGGGAUGAAAGCUGGGGGAGCAAACCGGAUUAGAUACCCGGGUAGUCCCAGCUGUAAACUAUGCAAACUCAGUGAUGCAUUGACUUGUGGUCAAUGCAGUGCUGCAGGGAAGCCGUUAAGUUUGCCGCCUGGGAAGUACGUACGCAAGUAUGAAACUUAAAGGGAAUUGGCGGGGGAGCACCACAAGGGUGAAGCCUGCGGUCAAUUGGACUCAACGCCGGA